GGUCUCCAGCUCUUGUUGGACUACAAUCCCCAUCAUCCCUGACCACUGGUCCUGCUAACUAAGGAUGCUGGGAGUUGUAGUCCAACAAGAGCUGGAGACCCA
rnacentral:miRNA from 1 species